UUAAGUUCAGCGGGUAUCCCUACCUGAUCCGAGGUCAAAAGUGAUAAAAAGGCUUAAUGGACGCCAGUGUAUAUUAGCAAGAAGCGUAAAAUGUGCUACGCUCCAAGGCCAAUACGCCGGCUGCCAAUUACUUUAAGGCGAGUCCUAACACUAAGGAAAGGACAAACACCCAACACCAAGCAAAGCUUGAGGGUACAAAU
rnacentral:misc_RNA from 1 species